rnacentral:rRNA from 1 species
GACGAACGCUGGCGGCGUGCUUAACACAUGCAAGUCGAGCGGUAAGGCCCUCGGGUACGACGAGCGGCGAACGGGUGAGUAACACGUGGGUGGACUGCCUCUAGCUCUGGGAGUAAGCCUGGGAAACGUGGGUCGUAAUACCGGAUAUGACUCCACGGCGCAUGUUGUGGGGUGGAAAGCCUUGUGUGGCUAGAGAUGGG